GCCAAGAUCGUGCCACUGCACUCCAGCCUGGGUGACAGAGACUCUGUCUCGAAAAAAAAAAGAAAGAAAAAGAAAUAUGAAGAAACAACCAAAAGAAGCCAUGCAAAGAGAGAAGCUACUGAAAGGAACAACCGCUAGGUCUGGGAGUUCCUCGUGGGAAUGAGAAUGAAGACCCCUCCCGCCCCACCACAGUCAGCCGCCUCUGGAGACCUGCAGCAGGGCCGUGUCCCUCUUACUACACAGUGCCUGGCGGAGAGCACGACACCCCCCGCAUGGCCUGUGCCAGUCACGACCGGUCAUCAAAGAAGACGUCCUUGUCGGGGCCAGAGAAAUUUCUGCCAUAUUCCAUGUUGAUGACGAAGAGCCCGUGCUUUGCCUUCCUCCCUGUGAGUGUCUCCAGCUGGGCCAGCAUCUGUAUGGGGAACUCCUCCAGGUACUCAAAGGCCGUGGAAUUCCUGGGAGAACAGCAACGCGGGGGAGGCCCUCAGUGCUGUGGCAGAGGAACUGUCCAUCCUCUGGGAUCUGCUGCUUAUCACUAAAUUGACUCUGACGAUGGUGGCCGGCAAGGCCCUGGCCUGAGGGAGCUCUGAGAUCCACGUGGCUGCCUCUGACUACUGCUCAUCCACGUGAUGCCAAACACUUUCCACAAGUGACCUUUACUCCUUCCUUUACUGCUGCAAGAACAGGCAUGUUCCCCACAGCAGCCUUCAUCUUAGGAAAGAACUGGGCACCUCACACCUGGAAUAGGAAGAGAAGCGCUAUGCAGCACGUCGGGAAAGCUGGGCCGAGGGGAGUAGGGUGGGGACGGGCUACUCACUCCUUCAACAGGAUGA
rnacentral:lncRNA from 10 species